CAGCACCCAGGGACAGGGUCACCAUGAGGUGGGGACAAGGCCAGGAUGGGGACAGCACCCCAAACAUGCAGAACCAGCACCCCAAACCUUGGGGCAGAGCCCCAGUGCAGAGGGGACAAGGACAACAAUGGCCAGGGACAAGGUCCUGUGCAGGGACAGUGCCCCAGAAACAGGAGACAGCCCUGGGACAUGUCCCCAGUGUGGGGACAAAGCUCCAAGCCCAGUAGCUGGGGACAGCCCCAGUGGCCUGGGGACACGGCCCCGAGCUGGGGACAGCCCCAGUGGCCUGGGGACACGGCCCCGGUGACACCGUUCAGCAUUCGGGUGACUCGGGGACAGCAGCUGACCAUGGACAGCAGCCAGGGCCAGGGACGUGUCCUGUGUGCUGGGGACGGUGCUGGGACUGUCCCCAAGGACCAGGGCACUGUGUCACCACUCAGGGACGGUUCUAGCAGCAGGGACAGCGCCCUGCCAGGAGCAGUGUCACCAAGGGGACACCCCAACACCAGGACAGGGUCUCAACCAGGGGACACUGCCCCAGAGGACCUGGGGACGUUGUCACCAACUGGGGACAGUGCUGCAGCAGUGCAGGGGCUCCAUCCCAGCUUGGGGACAGAGCCCACGGAGGUGGCACCUGGG
rnacentral:lncRNA from 12 species